GUGGGAGCGGGCUUGCUCGCGAAUACGGUGUGUCAGUCAACAUAGAUUUGUCUGAUUCACCGUAUUCGCGAGCAAGCCCGCUCCCAC
rnacentral:antisense_RNA from 1 species